rnacentral:rRNA from 1 species
GGGUUGUGAGGUUAAGCGAAUAAGCGUACACGGUGGAUGCCUAGGCAAUCAGAGGCGAUGAAGGACGUGCUAAUCUGCGAAAAGCGUCGGUAAGGUGAUAUGAACCGCUAUACCCGACGAUAUCCGAAUGGGGAAACCCAGUAUCCAAUGGAUACUAUCAUUAACUGAAUCCAUAGGUUAAUGAGGCGAACCGGGAGAACUGAAACAUCUCAGUACCCCGAGGAAAAGAAAUCAACCGAGAUUCCCCUAGUAGCGGCGAGCGAACGGGGAGCAGCCCAGAGUCUUAAUCAAUAGCAGUGUCAGGAGAACGGUCUGGAAAGUCCGGCAGUAAAGGGUGAUAGCCCCGUAUCUGAAGAUGCUGUUGUUGUGAACUCGA